ensembl:snRNA U6 U6 spliceosomal RNA
GUGCUCGCUUUGGCUGCACAAACACUGAAAGCGGAACGACACGGACAAGAUUAGCAUGGCCCCUGCGCAAGGACGACAUGCAAAUUCGUGAAACGUUCCACAUUAAA